AGAAAGAAUGUAAUCACCUUGGCAAACAUGGAGAGGACCCAUUGAAGCACUGUCUAUGGGGAAGGAAGUUCUACCCAGCAGGCUUUGAGUAUGCCCAACCCCAAGGGCUAAGCUAACCCCGGAGGACACAGAGAGGUUUAGGCCAAGACCUGUGAGUUCUCUGGUGUUUUGGGUAAGCUCAUUCCUGAGAUGAGAUGGGCACCUCAGGAAGCCUUAACCUGAUCCAGGAAUACUGCCUUGAGUCACAGCCCCAUUCUGAUUCUAUGGUCACCAGGCAACCUUCUCAUUGUGAGUCUGCCUCCCUCCCAGGCGGCUCUGCCAACCAGGGAGAAAACACUGUUGCUAUAAAGUUUGACCAUUUGAUAACUUUUGGUGAAUUAAUUGUCCCUGAUCGAGACAAAUCUAUUUUAGAUUACUAAAAACUAACAAAGGAUUUUGGCUACUCCUGGACAGUGGCUGAAAUGGUCUUCAAAAUAUGAGCCUUCAACUGUACCCUAGAUCUAAGACCCAGGAGCCUGCCUCACUUCAAGAAGUUUCUCCCCCCAAAAGAAAAUCAUUUCCCAAUUACCUUCUUUUGGUGUUUAGGAAGCUGCCGGGAGACUACCUGAGUAAGAUCCCCUGUCUACCUUCUCUGUCUGAGGAGCUCUGGGCCCUGUAAGCAAUUUCUUAAGGAAUUUACUAACCAACCUCAGGACUGAAAUUAGAUUCUACCAAGGAGAAGAAGGAUAUCAGAGAAGAUUGGAAGAUGAAAUGGAGGCCUUUAUUUCCAUAAUCCUGCAGGGCAGAAAUGGUUUCUACCACCUAAGUGUUUAUGCUUCUAUGGGGAAGUCCUUACCUGCUAUGGGACCUACCUACUUCUUCUAGAACUCAAUCCUUCCCAUCCAGACUCCUCUUCAACCUAGGGACUGUGGCUUUCCAUUGUGCUGACCCCAGCAGGCUUACCAUCCCUAGUUGGCUUUUCUUCACCCUGCUGUAUCUUCCUAAAUAGUUUAUUAAACAACUUUGUAAUUAC
rnacentral:lncRNA from 1 species